rnacentral:lncRNA from 1 species
CCAAUGAGGUGGAGGAGCUGAAGAGAUCGAAGGCCGAGGAGGUGGCUGCUGCCCCAGUCGAGGCGAUCGAGUCCUUCCAAACCUCAGAGGAGCAGAAGAGCUACAUCAUAAAUCGACUGGUUGAUGAGCAGCUUCGCUGGGAAGAUAGGUUGGUUAGGUUCAACCCCUCGGUGGAGAUUAACUUUGACACCAGUGGAGCCUCCUGCACAGACCCCUCCUGCUGAUGCUAGCGCUCCAACACCUGAGGCGGAGCCGGCUACUGAGGAUGCCCCUUCGACCGAGUCUUGAAGGCGUUGCCUUCGUUAUGUAGUAUAGUUAUUUUGUACUCUAGUGAUUGUGUUGGAACACUUGUUUAUUUUGUUUAUUUUGGUUAUGUAUGAACACUUUUCCUUGCGUGGAGCAGGGUUUUCAUUUAUGAUAUGGAACUUGG